rnacentral:rRNA from 1 species
UACGUAGGGUGCAAGCGUUGUCCGGAAUUAUUGGGCGUAAAGAGCUCGUAGGCGGUUUGUCGCGUCGGCUGUGAAAACUGGGGCUCAACUCUGGGCGUGCGGUCGAUACGGGCAUCACUUGAGUUCGGCAGGGGAGACUGGAAUUCCUGGUGUAGCGGUGAAAUGCGCAGAUAGUCAGGAGGAACACCGGUGGCGAAGGCGGGUCUCUGGGCAGCAUAGCGCUGAGGAGCGAAAGCGUGGGGAGCAAACAGG